GAGAGAUGGCUGAGUGGUUGAUA
rnacentral:tRNA from 2 species